rnacentral:rRNA from 1 species
GACAUAGGUGGCGAACGUUAUCCGGAUUUAUUGGGCGUAAAGGAUGUGUAGGCGGUAAAAUAAGUUAUUGGUCAAUGUCAAGCUCAACUUGACUGAAGCUAGUAAAACUGUUUUGCUAGAGGAUGGAAGAGGUUGAUGGAAGUCUGCGAGGAGGGGUGAAAUCCAUUGAUCCGCAGGGUACCACCAAAAAGGCGAAGGCAAUUAACUAUUUCAUUUCUGACGCUGAGACAUGAAAGCGUGGGGAGCAAACCGG